rnacentral:rRNA from 1 species
UACGGGAGGCAGCAGUGGGGAAUAUUGCACAAUGGGCGCAAGCCUGAUGCAGCCAUGCCGCGUGUAUGAAAAAGGCCUUCGGGUUGUAAAGUACUUUCAGCCGUGAGGAAGGUGUUAAGGUUAAUAACCUUAGCAAUUGACGUUAGCGACAGAAGAAGCACCGGCUAACUCCGUGCCAGCAGCCGCGGUAAUACGGAGGGUGCGAGCGUUAAUCGGAAUUACUGGGCGUAAAGGGCACGCAGGCGGUUAAUUAAGUUGGAUGUGAAAUCCCCGGGCUUAACCUGGGAAUGGCAUUCAAGCUGGUUAGCUAGAGUCUUGUAGAGGGGGUAGAAUUCCAUGUGUAGCGGUGAAAUGCGUAGAGAUGUGGAGGAAUACCGGUGGCGAAGGCGGCCCCUGGACAAAGACUGACGCUCAUGUGCGAAAGCGUGGGGAGCAAACAGGGAUUAGAUACC